UUUUCUUCUUUCUUCUUAAACGACCAACGGAACUCAAGUGCUUUGAUUUUGAUCGGAAACUUGAAGCUUGCUCAUUUCAAACCACUCCAUGAUGCAAAACUUGGAGGG